rnacentral:rRNA from 1 species
UACGUAGGGGGCAAGCGUUGUCCGGAAUCAUUGGGCGUAAAGAGCGCGUAGGCGGCCCGAUAAGUCCGCUGUGAAAGUCAAAGGGCUCAACCCUUGAAUGCCGGUGGAUACUGUCGGGCUAGAGUCCGGAAGAGGCGAGUGGAAUUCCCGGUGUAGCGGUGAAAUGCGCAGAUAUCGGGAGGAACACCAGUGGCGAAGGCGGCGACCUGGUCCGAGACUGACGCUGAGGCGGCGAAAGCGUGGGGAGCAAACAGGG